AACGAACGCUGGCGGCAUGCCUAACACAUGCAAGUCGAACGAGACCUUCGGGUCUAGUGGCGCACGGGUGCGUAACGCGUGGGAACCUGCCCUUGGGUUCGGAAUAACUCCCCGAAAGGGGUGCUCAUACAGGAUAAUGUCUUCGGACCAAAGAUUUAUCGCUUUUGGAUGGGCGCGGGUUGGUUUCGCCGGUUGGUAGGGUAAAAGCCGACCAAGGCGACGUUCCAUAGCUGGUCUGAGAGGAUGAUCAGCUACGCUGGGACUGAGACCCGGCCCAGACUCCUACGGGAGGCAGCAGUGGGGAAUAUUGGACAAGGGGCGAAAGCCUGAUCCAGCAAUGCCGCGGGAGUGAUGAAUGCCUUAGUGUUGUAAAUCUCUUUUACCCGGGAUGAUAAUGACAGUACCGGGAGAAUAAGCACCGGCUAACUCCGUG
rnacentral:rRNA from 1 species